rnacentral:rRNA from 1 species
UACGGAGGGGGCGAGCGUUAUUCGGAAUUAUUGGGCGUAAAGGGCGCGUAGGCGGCUUGAUGUGUCAAAGGUGAAAUCCCUCGGCUCAACUGAGGAACUGCCUUUGAAACUGUCUGGCUUGAGGCCGGGAGAGGGUAGCGGAAUUCCCAGUGUAGCGGUGAAAUGCGUAGAUACUGGGAGGAACACCGGUGGCGAAGGCAGCACUCUGGGACGGUACUGACGCUGAGACGCGAAAGCGUGGGGAGCAAACAGG